UCGCAGUCCGUUGACAGCUCCUGACAGCCAGAACAGGCCAAGUCCAAACCCAGUGGUCAACAGUUUGGCGGACGACAACGGGCGCCUCACACUGCCCACUUUGAAUGCCACUGAGAACAAAACUGCAAGGCCAGUUCCAGCAAUCCCAGCAGAGAACUGGAUAAGGAGAUCAUUUAUCUCGGGGGCUGAUUUUGUCAGAGAAAGCAUCGACACCCCACCCCGACGCUUCACUAGGACGGCAGAGAGAAGGCAUUCACAAGCAUGGAAAUAGUUUUUCCUGUAGAGGUCCCGUUCUUUUCCUCCUUUCCG
rnacentral:misc_RNA from 1 species